UCGGUGAAACGUUUUAACAGCUGCGGUAUUUUAACUGUACUAAGGUAGCAUAAUAAUUUGCCUUAUAAUUUGAGGCUAGAAUGAAUGGUUUGACGAAGGUUAAUCUGUCUCUGCUUUAUUUUUUAGAAAUUAAUUUUCAUAGUGAAAAAGCUUGAAUUUCUUAAGGGGACGAGAAGACCCUACUGAGCUUAUAAUUUUAUUAUCACAUAUAUUUAUGUAUAAUGUGCUAUAUAAAUUUUAAUUGGGGUGAUUAAGGAAUAAUAUAGCUAUUUUAUAACUUCCUUAGAUAUUAUAUUGUUGAAUUAAGUAACCGAUUAAUUAAUAGAAUUGUAUUAUGUAUUGCUUAUAAUAUAGUUACCAUAGGGAUAACAGCGUAAUUUACUUAGAGAGUUCUUAUUGAAAAGUAAGAUUGCGACCUCGAUGUUGGAUUAAAGUGACCUUAAGGUGCAGAAGCUUUAUGAGGUAAAUCUGUUCGAUUUU
rnacentral:rRNA from 1 species